UGCGUAGGUGGUAAUGUAUGUCGGACGUGAAAUCCCGAGGCUCAACUUCGGAAUUGCAUCCGAAACUGCAUAACUUGAGUGCAGGAUGGGAGAGCGGAAUUCUUGGUGUAGCGGUGAAAUGCGUUGAUAUCAAGAAGAACACCGGUGGCGAAGGCGGCUCUCUGGAAUGUUACUGACACUGAGGCACGAAAGCUGGGGGAGCAAACAGGAUUAGAUACCCUGGUAGUCC
rnacentral:rRNA from 1 species